CAACAUUCCCCUCUCACCAUGCAGGUGGCUUCCACUCUUCAGACCCUUUCCUGCACAACUUUGUCCCUGAGCAUAGGUCCUGGACGUAAAAGAAGGGACAUCGUCUGGAGAAAUAUUGAAUUAAGAAAGGCGCGGCUGUGAAGAAUAGAAAUCAGUGUCUCCCUUAGUCUCUCAGUUCGGCGAUCUUGGUAAUGCCCUGUCCCAUGCCUGCUAACGCGAUUCAGCCUCGAUAUCCCCGUCCAGUCCCACGAUCGCACCAAGAAGAGCUUGCGAGCCUUCCUGCUACAUACUGACAUUAAGAAACCGGACUUGAAAGGGAUCCCAGACAAACGUUAAACAUGCAACAAGAGGGAUAGGGUGUAAGGAAGAGAAUCCUUGGGGCGGUGUCUGAUAAAACAGAUGGCUCUCCUUUCCAGGUGUUUCUGAAUUUGAUCCCCGACGCCUGGGGCAUCGUGGAGGAACUUGCAUAGGAAAUCAAGGUGUCGCAGGAAAGAGAACACGCACAAGCAAAAGAUACCUUAAUUUGUAGUAUACUCAAUAUUUAUCGUACAGAAGUGUAUCGACGAUAGACAAUGUGCGAUGUGAUGGGUGCUGGGAACUUAACGAACUCUCCACGCGCCUAGACCUCAUUGGAUCCACUUUCUCUUGGGCUGUGAGCCGGUAAAAAAAAAAGGGGUGGAUGUGGAGGACGGUCCAAAGGAUUCGGAGCUCCUUAAAAUGCUACUCAAACUUUAUUUAGCGCGCUGGAGAAUCCCUGAGAAGGAGUAUUAUACCCAGUUUUCCGGGACUUACCUCCAGUGAUUCUACGUCGAUUCUUUGAUGAGGCCCAUUAAUUUUUAGCUGGGUGAUGCCGACCAGACUGUAAGUAGCACUGUAUUCGUGCAUUUUCUUUUAUCGCCCACUUUUUGCAACUAACACCAACAGAGAACUUCCACGGUAGAAGGUGAAAAAUUGAGCGUCUACCGGGAGUGGGACUCACAAUCUUAUGUUACUGGGCUUUAACCAACCGAGGUAAUUCCCUUCUACUUUCAAGAUUUUUAUUUUUGUUUUCGUGUUUAAUAAACGUGUAGAUUUCGUCGCAUUGUUUUGUUCUGUUCUGUGGCGGCUUUUUCAUAGAAAGACAACACCAACCUGGGCAUGGUGGCGUGACUCUGUAACUAUACUCAGAAGGCUGAGGCGGGAGAAUCGCUUAAGGCCUGCAAUUGAAGGCCAACUUGGACAACAGAAUGAGACCCUCGUCUCCAAUAAAAUACACAAUUUUUUUGAAAAAGACAACAUCUCCCCCUUAAACAAAACAUUCUCUUCUGAAAAUGCAUUCUCUUAAUCUCCUUUCUUUUACUGAUACUGAGAAAGGGGUUGGCUGAAAGAGAUCUCUGGAAAGACAACUCAAAAAAAUCAAAUAAAGAGUACUAUUUGGCGGGGUGCGAUGGCUCACGCCUGUAAUGCCAGCACUUUGGGAGGCUGAGGCAGGUGGAUCACCUGAGGUCAGGAGUUCGACACCAGCCUGGCCAACAUGGUGAAACCCCAUCUCUACUAACAAUACAAUAAUUAGCCUUGUGUAGUAGCAGCCACCUGUAAUCCCAGCUACUUAGGAGGCUGAGGCAGGAGAAUCACUUGAACCUGGGAGGCGGAGGUUGCAGUGAGCUGAGAUCACCCCAUUGCAUUCCAGCCUGGGCCAUAAGAGCGAAACUCCAUCUCAAAAAAAAAAAAAAGUAUUAUUUAUCUAUAAAAAGAAAUGAAAUUCUAAUACAAGCUAUGACAUGAAUGAACAUUGAAAAUAUUAUACUAAGAAAAAGAAGCCUUUGACCUUUGAUAUGAUAAGCAGAUUGGGACCCCAUCCCACUCCACUGAAAAAACUACAGAGAUUGUAUUUGAAGAUAAAAUACUUUCUUUUCUCCUGAGUAUUCUAGAGCAGCACUGUCCACAACAGCCACUCACACAUAUUUCAAAAACAUAGUACAAAAACAGAAAGAAAGAAAAAAGAAUUCUCAUAUUUUCUUGAUAACAUGUUUAAAUGAUAAUAUUUGGAGUUAAAAUAUAUUAGAAGUAGCUGGGCACAGUGGUAUGCUCUUGUAAUCCCAGCUAUUCCAGAGGCUGUGGAAAGGGGAAUUUCCUGAACCUAGGAGUUUGAGACCAACGCGGGCAAUACAGCGAGCCCCCUUCUCUUAAAAAAAAUAAAAUUAAAUUAAUUUCACUUGUUUAACUUUACUUUCUUAGUAUUACUAGAAAACUUAAAAUUACCCACUAUAUGAUAUUAUAUGUUAACUCAUAUCUUCUUGUGGUUAUUGAUGUGGUAACAUCAGUAAAGUGCUAUCAAUUUACCAGGGGCACAGUGCCUUUGAGCAGACUCCAGACUCUAUAAUGCUGUCAUAUUGCAUUUGUUUUUCA
rnacentral:lncRNA from 10 species